rnacentral:rRNA from 1 species
UUGUCGCAUGGCGAAUAUGGGAAAAGCUCCGGCGGCAAAGGAUGGGCCCGCGGCCUGUUAGCUAGUUGGUGGGGUAGUGGCCUACCCAAGGCAAUGAUGGGUAGCCGGGUUGAGAGACCGACCGGCCAGAUUGGGACUGAGACACGGCCCAGACUCCUACGGGAGGCAGCAGUGGGGAAUCUUGCACAAUGGGCGAAAGCCUGAUGCAGCGACGCCGCGUGCGGGAUGAAGGCCUUCGGGUUGUAAACCGCUUUCAGCAGGGGACGAGGCCGCAAGGUGACGGUACCUGCAGAAGAAGCCCCGGCUAACUACGUGCCAGCAGCCGCGGUAAU